rnacentral:rRNA from 1 species
AACGAACGUUGGCGGCGUGGAUUAGGCAUGCAAGUCGAACGAAUCUCAGCAGUGUAGCAAUACAAGGCUGAGAAGAGUGGCGAAAGGGGCAGUAAUGUUUGGAUAACCUACCCUGAGGUCGUGGAUAGCCUUCCUAACGGAUGGGUAAUACACGGCGACGUAUUGAAGAGGCAUCUCUUUGUUACCAAAGAAUUUCGCCUCAGGAGGGGUCCAAAUGAUAUUAGCUAGUUGGUGAGGUAACGGCUCACCAAGGCGUAGAUGUCUAGCGGGUGUGAGAGCACGACCCGCGCCACUGGCACUGAGACACUGGCCAGACUCCUACGGGAGGCUGCAGUCGAGGAUCUUCGGCAAUGGGCGCAAGCCUGACCGAGCGACGCCGCGUGUGCGAUGAAGGCCUUCGGGUUGUAAAGCACUGUCGAGAGGGAGAAAGUCCGUAAGGAUUGAUCUAUCUCUGGAGGAAGCACGGGCUAAGUUCGUGCCAGCCGCCGCCGUAAAAC